GCAUCCAUAGCUCAGUUGGUAGAGCAUCUGACUCUUAAUCAGCAGGUCGCCGGUUCGAGCCCGGCUGGGUGCA
rnacentral:tRNA from 1 species